rnacentral:rRNA from 5 species
AGACCCGAAACCCGGUGAUCUAGCCAUGGGCAGGUUGAAGGUUGGGUAACACUAACUGGAGGACCGAACCGACUAAUGUUGAAAAAUUAGCGGAUGACCUGUGGCUGGGGGUGAAAGGCCAAUCAAACCGGGAGAUAGCUGGUUCUCCCCGAAAGCUAUUUAGGUAGCGCCUCGUGAAUUCAUCUCCGGGGGUAGAGCACUGUUUCGGCUAGGGGGCCAUCCCGGCUUACCAACCCGAUGCAAACUGCGAAUACCGGAGAAUGUUAUCACGGGAGACACACGGCGGGUGCUAACGUCCGUCGUGAAGAGGGAAACAACCCAGACCGCCAGCUAAGGUCCCAAAGUCAUGGUUAAGUGGGAAACGAUGUGGGAAGGCCCAGACAGCCAGGAUGUUGGCUUAGAAGCAGCCAUCAUUUAAAGAAAGCGUAAUAGCUCACUGGUCGAGUCGGCCUGCGCGGAAGAUGUAACGGGGCUAAACCAUGCACCGAAGCUGCGGCAGCGACGCUGAUGCGUUGUUGGGUAGGGGAGCGUUCUGUAAGCCUGUGAAGGUGGCCUGUGAGGGUUGCUGGAGGUAUCAGAAGUGCGAAUGCUGACAUAAGUAACGAUAAAGCGGGUGAAAAGCCCGCUCGCCGGAAGACCAAGGGUUCCUGUCCAACGUUAAUCGGGGCAGGGUGAGUCGACCCCUAAGGCGAGGCCGAAAGGCGUAGUCGAUGGGAAACGGGUUAAUAUUCCCGUACUUGGUGUUACUGCGAAGGGGGGACGGAGAAGGCUAUGUUGGCCGGGCGACGGUUGUCCCGGUUUAAGCGUGUAGGUGUGUGUUCCAGGUAAAUCCGGUUCACUUUAACACUGAGGCGUGAUGACGAGGCACUACGGUGCUGAAGCAACAAAUGCCCUGCUUCCAGGAAAAGCCUCUAAGCAUCAGGUAACAUCAAAUCGUACCCCAAACCGACACAGGUGGUCAGGUAGAGAAUACCAAGGCGCUUGAGAGAACUCGGGUGAAGGAACUAGGCAAAAUGGUGCCGUAACUUCGGGAGAAGGCACGCUGACACGUAGGUGAAGUGAUUUACUCA